rnacentral:tRNA from 1 species
CAGGGGGUAUUUUAUUUAAAAUGUUAGUUUUGGGGAUUAACGAAAUGGUGUUUAACCUUUCCCCUGA